rnacentral:rRNA from 1 species
UGGGGAAUUUUGGACAAUGGGCGAAAGCCUGAUCCAGCAAUGCCGCGUGUGUGAAGAAGGCCUUCGGGUUGUAGAGCACUUUUGUCCGGAAAGAAAUGGCUCUGGUUAAUACCUGGGGUCGAUGACGGUACCGGAAGAAUAAGGACCGGCUAACUACGUGCCAGCAGCCGCGGUAAUACGUAGGGUCCAAGCGUUAAUCGGAAUUACUGGGCGUAAAGCGUGCGCAGGCGGUUGUGCAAGACCGAUGUGAAAUCCCGAGCUUAACUUGGGAAUUGCAUUGGUGACUGCACGGCUAGAGUGUGUCAGAGGGGGGUAGAAUUCCACGUGUAGCAGUGAAAUGCGUAGAGAUGUGGAGGAAUACCGAUGGCGAAGGCAGCCCCCUGGGAUAACACUGACGCUCAUGCACGAAAGCGUGGGGAGCAAACAGGAUUAGAUACCCUGGUAGUCCACGCCCUAAAACGAUGUCAACUAGUUGUUGGGGAUUCAUUUCCUUAGUAACGUAGCUAACGCGUGAAGUUGACCGCCUGGGGAGUACGGUCGC